rnacentral:rRNA from 1 species
ACGGAGGGCGCAAGCGUUGUUCGGAAUUACUGGGCGUAAAGCGCGUGUAGGCGGCCAGGUAAGUCGGAUGUGAAAGCCCGGGGCCCCACCCCGGAACUGCACCCGAUACUGCCUGGCUGGAGUCCCGGAGAGGAUGGCGGAAUUUCCGGUGUAGAGGUGAAAUUCGUAGAUAUCGGAAGGAGCACCAGUGGCGAAGGCGGCCAUCUGGACGGUGACUGACGCUGAGACGCGAAAGCGUGGGGAGCAAACAGGA